UCCGGUUUGACACCGGCAGUCCCGCUAGAGUGCCCGGCAUGACCCGAUGGCAACUAACGGCAGGGGUUUCGCUCGUUAGGGGACUUAACCCAACACCUCAAGGCACGAGCUGACGACAGCCAUGCAACACCUGUGCUGGUUACACCCGAAGGCAAUCCCUCCGCUUUCACGGAGUUAAUCCCAGCAUGUCAAACCCAGGUAAGGUUCUUCGCGUUGCUUCGAAUUGAGCAACAUCCUCCACCGCUUGUGUGAGCCCCCGUCAAUUCCUUUGAGUUUUAGCCUUGCGGCCGUACUCCCCAGGCGGGGCACUUAAUGCGUUAGCUCCGGCACGGGAGGAGUCGACACCUCCCACACCUAGUGCCCAUCGUUUACGGCGUGGACUAC
rnacentral:misc_RNA from 1 species